UAAGUAAACCGUAGUAGUCGCCCCCGAUGUACUUCGGGGGAGGAAAGUCCGAGCAUCCAAGAGCAGGGUGGCCGCUAACCGCGCGCCGGUUCCCGAGUAAUCGGGAGCAAGGGAAAGUGCCGCAGAAACCAUACCUGCCCCGAUGUAACGUCGGGGCUAAGGGUGAAACGUCCGUGAUAAUCAGCACGGUCCCCGAUCGCGUAAGCGCAACGGGGUGGUAAACCCCACCUGAUGCAAGGUUGUAAUGGAAGGAUGGAUCAAGGAGGCGGCUCGUCGCCCCAUCCUUACAACUGCUAGAUCCCUCCUGAACUUGUUUCAGGAUCUGGGACAAGAUAGAUGACUACUCCUCCUUAGCCCUUACGGGUUUUGGCAGGACAGAACUCGGCUUAUGAGUUUAUUUAAAUC
rnacentral:RNase_P_RNA from 1 species